UCAAGCCAUUGUUACUGG
rnacentral:snRNA from 1 species